rnacentral:rRNA from 1 species
AACGAACGCUGGCGGCAGGCCUAACACAUGCAAGUCGAGCGAGCAUUUCGGUGCUAGCGGCGGACGGGUGAGUAACGCGUGGGAACGUGCCCUUUUCUGCAGAAUAGUCCUGGGAAACUGGGGGUAAUACCGCAUACGCCCUUUUGGGGAAAGAUUUAUCGGAGAAGGAUCGGCCCGCGUUGGAUUAGGUAGUUGGUGGGGUAAUGGCCCACCAAGCCGACGAUCCAUAGCUGGUUUGAGAGGAUGAUCAGCCACACUGGGACUGAGACACGGCCCAGACUCCUACGGGAGGCAGCAGUGGGGAAUCUUAGACAAUGGGGGCAACCCUGAUCGAGCCAUGCCGCGUGAGUGAUGAAGGCCUUAGGGUUGUAAAGCUCUUUCAGCUGGGAAGAUAAUGACGGUACCAGCAGAAGAAGCCCCGGCUAACUCCGUG